GAUGAACGCUGGCGGCGUGCCUAAUACAUGCAAGUCGAGCGAACAGAUAAGGAGCUUGCUCCUUUGAAGUUAGCGGCGGACGGGUGAGUAACACGUGGGUAACCUACCUAUAAGACUGGGAUAACUUCGGGAAACCGGAGCUAAUACCGGAUAACAUUUAGAACCGCAUGGUUCUAAAGUGAAAGAUGGUUUUGCUAUCACUUAUAGAUGGACCCGCGCCGUAUUAGCUAGUUGGUAAGGUAACGGCUUACCAAGGCGACGAUACGUAGCCGACCUGAGAGGCUGAUAGCCCACACGGGAGCUGAACCGCGGUCAAGACUCCUACGGGAGGCACCAGUAGGGAAUGUUCCGCAAUAGGCGAAAGCCUGACGGAGCAACGCCGCGUGAGUGAUGAAGGGUUUCGGCUCGUAAAGCUCUGUUAUUAGGGAAGAACAAAUGUGUAAGUAACUGUACACAUCUUGACGGUACCUAAUCAGAAAGCCACGGCUAACUACGUG
rnacentral:rRNA from 1 species